rnacentral:rRNA from 3 species
GUCUGCAACUCGACUCCAUGAAGUCGGAAUCGCUAGUAAUCGUGGAUCAGAAUGCCACGGUGAAUACGUUCCCGGGCCUUGUACACACCGCCCGUCACACCAUGGGAGUGGGUUGCAAAAGAAGUAGGUAGCUUAACCUUCGGGAGGGCGCUUACCACUUUGUGAUUCAUGACUGGGGUGAAGUCGUAACAAGGUAACCGUAGGGGAACCUGCGGUUGGAUCACCUCCUUACCUUAAAGAAGC